rnacentral:rRNA from 1 species
GACGUAGGGCGCGAGCGUUGUCCGGAUUUAUUGGGCGUAAAGAGCUCGUAGGCGGUUUGUCGCGUCGUCCGUGAAAACUCACAGCUUAACUGUGAGCUUGCGGUCGAUACGGGCAGGCUAGAGUUCGGUAGGGGAGACUGGAAUUCCUGGUGUAGCGGUGAAUGCGCAGAUAUCAGGAGGAACACCGGUGGCGAAGGCGGGUCUCUGGGCCGAUACUGACGCUGAGGAGCGAAAGCGUGGGGAGCGAACAGG